GCGUGCUUAAUACAUGCAAGUCGAACGGUUGGCAGCAAUGUCAGCAGUGGCGGACGGGUGAGUAACGCGUGGACAAUCUGCCUUUAACUGGGGAAUAACAGCUGGAAACGGCUGAUAAUACCGCAUAUGACCACAACGCCGCAUGGCGAAGGGGUGAAAGAUUUAUCGGUUAAAGAGGAGUCUGCGUUGCAUUAGGUAGUUGGUAGGGUAACGGCCUACCAAGCCGACGAUGCAUAACCGGCCUGAGAGGGUGAACGGUCACACUGGAACUGAGACACGGUCCAGACUCCUACGGGAGGCAGCAGUAGGGAAUAUUGGGCAAUGGAGGCAACUCUGACCCAGCAACGCCGCGUGAAUGAAGAAGGUUUUCGGAUUGUAAAGUUCUUUUAUAUGGGAAGAAAAAAAUGACGGUACCAUAUGAAUAAGCCCCGGCUAACUCUGUGCCAGCAGCCGCGGUAAUACAGAGGGGGCAAGCGUUGUCCGGAAUGACUGGGCGUAAAGGGUGUGUAGGCGGUCUUGUGCGUCGUAUGUGAAAUCCUGUGGCUUAACCAUAGAAUUGCAUACGAUACGACUUGACUGGAGUGUGGGAGAGGUUUGUGGAAUUCCCGGUGUAGCGGUAGAAUGCGUAGAUAUCGGGAGGAACAUCAGAGGCGAAGGCGGCAAACUGGACCAUAACUGACGCUGAAACACGAAAGCGUGGGGAGCAAACAGGAUUAGAUACCCUGGUAGUCCACGCCCUAAACGAUGAAUACUAGAUGUUGGUGGUAUCGACUCCAUCAGUAUCGUAGCUAACGCGUUAAGUAUUCCGCCUGUGUAGUACGGCCGCAAGGUUGAAACACAAAGAAAUUGACGGGGACCCGCACAAGCAGCGGAGCAUGUGGUUUAAUUCGAAGAUACGCGAAAAACCUUACCAGGACUUGACAUCGCCUGCAUAGCCCCGAAAAGGGUGAAAAAAUCAGCAAUGGUUUCAGGUAGACAGAUGGUGCAUGGUUGUCGUCAGCUCGUGUCGUGAGAUGUUCGGUUAAGUCCGUCAACGAGCGCAACCCCUGUUAUUAGUUGCCAGCAUUAAGUUGGGCACUCUAAUGAGACUGCCGUAGUUAAUACGGAGGAAGGCGGGGAUGACGUCAAAUCAUCAUGCCUCUUACGUUCUGGGCUACACACGUGCUACAAUGGUCGUCACAAAGAGUUGCAAAGUGGUAACACCGAGCCAAUCUCAAAAAAGCGAUCUCAAUUCGGAUUGUGGGCUGAAACUCGCCCACAUGAAGUCGGAGUUGCUAGUAAUCCCGAAUCAGCAUGUCGGGGUGAAUGCGUUCCCGGGU
rnacentral:rRNA from 2 species